AUCCCCCAGGAGGAUGUCUCUUCUCCCUACUGACCUUUGUUUUGUCUAGGCUCCACCUCCUCUGUCCUGAUUGGAUGCUGCUCGGAGUCCAGCUAAUUGUUAAUUAGCAGAGCACUACUUAAGGCCUAGGUUGCUGUGUUUCUGGGCCCUCAGGCCAUUUUGGUUGCCAUACCUGUGCUGACAGUAUGUGACUUGUAGGUGCUUGUUCUGACUGCUUGUAGGGGAGAGCUGCCUUUUGUUUUGACAUCCUGUUUUCUCCUGUUUAUGUGUGGUUAGGUAGGUUAUGGUUAUAGGUUGCAUAUUUUGUUUUCUUUGGAGUUAGGUGUGUGUAUUUUAUUUUUACAUUAGGGAUGUUUUGUUUGUUAUGUUGGCCUUGGCUCUCCCUGAAGUUAUACCUCAGUCUGAACCCAAAUCUCAUCACCUGCAUUAAAUAAACCUUUUAGAUUUAC